AAAAAGGGGAGAGUGUUCUGUCGUCAAUCUAUAUCGCGGUCCGUCGUUUUGCUUCGUCGCUCGUCCAUCAGAUUUUUGGGCCCUCCCCAAAUCACGUACCAACACGAUAUUCCUCGCGUGCCCCCACGGUCCACGCCCUGAUGUCGCCCGCAUCUUCCACCGAAGGAAGAGAAACAGAGCUUCGUGCCCCAUCACGCCGCCGUCCAUCGAUGUUCGGCCAGCGAUUCGGUAUUUCCUGCGGCCGAGCCGCCGACGCCUCCUGACGAGCCGAGGGCUUUUCCGCCGACGCCACUGACCGGGGGAGUGCUUGGGGAGGAGACCUUGAGGCGGACGAUGCAGGCCACAACUGGCGCGAACAUCGUCUCCGGUGGGUGCCGAGGUGGACGACACCGGCGUCUCCUGCAACGAUCUCAGGCUGCUCCUCGAUAUCAUGGGCACCUGUGCGGCUGUGCAUGUGAAUUGAUGCUAAGCGCUCCUAGAUUUGGUCAGUCAUAUGUUCGAUGAAAUGCUACAGUCAAAAUUCUUCUUAGAUUUCUAUCUCAGAGCUCUUUUAAUUCUUUUUAGUUCCGGUUCUGCAAACCAUAUGAACUAAUUACUCAUGAUGAAGUGUUGUACACAUUGUUCCUUCUCAGGGUAUAAGGAAUGAGCUUUUAGGGGAGCACAAUGCUGAGGCUGCACUGCUACAGUAUGUGUUGUCAGCGAAGGACAGGUACGCGAUGUUGCCGCCAUUCAUAUUACCUAUGCUGCUGCCGAGCCUUGCUUUAUGCCCUAGGACUAUGGUUAGAUUUGUCAGCGCCACUUUUGUGACAUGGUACCGACAUUGGCCACUGUAUUUUUUCUCCUUUUCCUACACAAGGUUCCCUUGUGUCUGGUCGCUGCUCAACCAUCCACAUCCAUGGAUGUGAAUCAGGUCAUUGGUGACUCCAGGUCUUGCUACGGCAUUGACAUGGAAGGAGUGAUCAUCAUAGCACAUGACCUCAGGAAAACCUGAUGACCCAAUAUCUGAUGAGAUGAUGCCUCUACUGUCUGUACAAGCUUUGUUUAUUUAAAUAAAGACUUUGGUACUCCAUAAUUUAUGUUGUUUGCUCUCCAUUUAUAUUGUGUUCAUUUCCUUAUCUUGCUAACAUGUAGAUAAUUAGACGAGAUUUGACUAAAAGUUGCAUGUUUUGCUGUCUUACAGAUAUUUUUGUACGUUUAUUUUAGGACAAUUUCCCUUCUCUUUUGUUGUGAUGGACUGAUAUAAGUAUAGGUAUUAUGACAUCAAGACUUAAUUUUGUGAAAUGAAAGAAAUGAACCAUGACAGCUAAUUAUUUUUAUGGUUUCAGCUUAAGAAUCGAAAUGGUUUACCAAGUUAUAAUGCGCUACGGAUAGGCGGCAGCGGCUGCAGCUGGACUCCCGGAGAGGUACCUCAUCUUCAUGACCACGUAGCUCGCCGAGGCAAGGAAGGUGAACGGCUCGCUGGCAGACGAUGCGACAACAAUACGGGUGGUGCCAGAAAAGAUGGACAAUGACUACUGCCACUCAACGCUGGGCUACCUGCACGUGCAGCAGGACAUGUUCCUUGUUCAGAAUUUGCUCUCGCUUCCUGAUGGUUGGGUAUCUGAUCAUAGGUAUGUGUUGUGCUUGUUCAAGAUUUCAGCUUCACUCUCUGGGUCCUCAAUUCCGCUCAGCACUACAACCUGGAGAGUUCUAAACAUGAUUGAUAUUUCAAGCAGUUAAGGAGAUGCUUCUCCAAGUAUUAAGGACUCUUCAAUGAUUUGGGUGUUUACCGCCGUCAUGGUCGCCGUCUAUGCACACAAGUAGCUAAAUAUUACUCCCUUCGUUCCAAAAUGUAAGGUGCCUAAGGAUUAGUAAAAAGUCAACUUUUUUA